rnacentral:rRNA from 1 species
UGCAAGUCGAGCGGACAGAUGGGAGCUUGCUCCCUGAUGUUAGCGGCGGACGGGUGAGUAACACGUGGGUAACCUGCCUGUAAGACUGGGAUAACUCCGGGAAACCGGGGCUAAUACCGGAUGGUUGUUUGAACCGCAUGGUUCAGACAUAAAAGGUGGCUUCGGCUACCACUUACAGAUGGACCCGCGGCGCAUUAGCUAGUUGGUGAGGUAACGGCUCACCAAGGCGACGAUGCGUAGCCGACCUGAGAGGGUGAUCGGCCACACUGGGACUGAGACACGGCCCAGACUCCUACGGGAGGCAGCAGUAGGGAAUCUUCCGCAAUGGACGAAAGUCUGACGGAGCAACGCCGCGUGAGUGAUGAAGGUUUUCGGAUCGUAAAGCUCUGUUGUUAGGGAAGAACAAGUGCCGUUCAAAUAGGGCGGCACCUUGACGGUACCUAACCAGAAAGCCACGGCUAACUACGUGCCAGCAGCCGCGGUAAUACGUAGGUGGCAAGCGUUGUCCGGAAUUAUUGGGCGUAAAGGGCUCGCAGGCGGUUUCUUAAGUCUGAUGUGAAAGCCCCCGGCUCAACCGGGGAGGGUCAUUGGAAACUGGGGAACUUGAGUGCAGAAGAGGAGAGUGGAAUUCCACGUGUAGCGGUGAAAUGCGUAGAGAUGUGGAGGAACACCAGUGGCGAAGGCGACUCUCUGGUCUGUAACUGACGCUGAGGAGCGAAAG